UACGGGGGGAGCAAGCGUUGUUCGGAUUUACUGGGCGUAAAGGGCGCGUAGGCGGUCAGCACAGGUCAGUUGUGAAAUCUCCGGGCUUAACUCGGAAAGGUCAACUGAUACUGUGCGGCUAGAGUGCGGAAGGGGCAACUGGAAUUCUCGGUGUAGCGGUGAAAUGCGUAGAUAUCGAGAGGAACACCUGCGGCGAAGGCGGGUUGCUGGGCCGACACUGACGCUGAUGCGCGAAAGCCAGGGGAGCGAACGGG
rnacentral:rRNA from 1 species